CCCUUAGAUGUCCGGGGCUGCACGCGCGCUACACUGUAGAAAGCAGCGUGCUUUAAAACCUUUCCUGAAAAGGAUGGGUAACCCCAGCAAAAUUCUACGUGCUUGGGAUAGAGAUUUGCAAUUUUCUCUCUUGAACGAGGAAUUCCCAGUAAGUGCGAGUCAUCAGCUCGCGUUGAUUACGUCCCUGCCCUUUGUACACACCGCCCGUCGCUACUACCGAUUGGGAAAAUUUUAGAGAGUCCUGGACUGAUGAUUGUUCGGCUUCACGGCCUUACUUUCGUCGGGAAAGAAUUCGAUAACAUUUUUCUAGAGGAAGUAAAGGUCGUAACA
rnacentral:rRNA from 1 species